UACGAAGGGUGCAAGCGUUGUUCGGAAUUACUGGGUGUAAAGGGCGUGUAGGCGGAUAUGCAAGUUAGUGGUGAAACCCCUGAGCUUAACCUGGGAACUGCCAUUGAUACUGUGUAUCUGGAGUGCCGGAGAGGAUAACGGAAUAUCCAGUGUAGAGGUGAAAUUCGUAGAUAUUGGAUAGAACACCGGUGGCGAAGGCGGUUAUCUGGCCGGUUACUGACGCUGAGGCGCGAGAGCGUGGGGAGCAAAC
rnacentral:rRNA from 1 species